rnacentral:rRNA from 1 species
GUGCUAAGGUAGCAUAAUAAUUUGCCUCUUAAUUAGAGGCUGGAAUGAAGGAACAUACGAGAGUAAAACUGUUUCAUUUUUAUCUAAUGAAAACUAACCUCUAGAUGAAGAGAUCUAGAUAACUAAGAAAGACAAAAAGACCCUAUUGAGCUUUACCCUACCAGAAUUCCCCCAAAGUGAAUCUAUUUAAUAAAUUCUGAACGGGUUUUGUUGGGGCGACAGAAGAAGAACUAAAUCUUCUUUAUUUAAUGAGGUAAUAAACCUAAUAAUGAUCCGGAACCCCCGAUUAAAAGAUUCAGCUACCAUAGGGAUAACAGGCUAAUUCUUUCCGAGAGCCCAUAU